GAUGAACGCUGGCGGCGUGCUUAACACAUGCAAGUCGAACGAUGAAGCCCAGCUUGCUGGGUGGAUUAGUGGCGAACGGGUGAGUAACACGUGAGUAACCUACCCUUGACUCUGGGAUAAGCCUGGGAAACUGGGUCUAAUACCGGAUAGGAACGUCCACCGCAUGGUGGUUGUUGGAAAGAUUUAUCGGUCAUGGAUGGACUCGCGGCCUAUCAGCUUGUUGGUGAGGUAAUGGCUCACCAAGGCGACGACGGGUAGCCGGCCUGAGAGGGUGACCGGCCACACUGGGACUGGGACACGGCCCAGACUCCUACGGGAGGCAGCAGUGGAGAAUAUUGCACAAUGGGCGAAAGCCUGAUGCAGCGACGCCGCGUGAGGGAUGACGGCCUUCGGGUUGUAAACCUCUUUCAGUAGGGAAGAAGCGAAAGUGACGGUACCUGCAGAAGAAGCACCGGCUAACUACGUGCCAGCCGCCGCCGUAA
rnacentral:rRNA from 1 species